CACGUAGGGGGCAAGCGUUGUUCGGAUUUACUGGGCGUAAAGGGCGCGUAGGCGGCGUGACAAGUCACUUGUGAAAUCUCCGGGCUUAACUCGGAACGGUCAAGUGAUACUGUCGUGCUAGAGUGCAGAAGGGGCAAUCGGAAUUCUUGGUGUAGCGGUGAAAUGCGCAGAUAUCAGGAGGAACACCGGUGGCGAAGGCGGUGAUCUGGGCCGACACUGACGCUGUAGAGCGAAAGCGUGGGGAGCGAACAGG
rnacentral:rRNA from 1 species